rnacentral:lncRNA from 1 species
AUGCAACAUUUUGCCCAUUCCUUAAUAAGUCUUCCCAUCAAGACCCAUGACUGGAGGACUCAGCCAUUCACUGUGGUCUGUCUGCUGGAGCCAACUGGAGCUAUUUGUGCCCAACACAGGGCAGCCUCUUCUCACAGAGCCCACCCUGUCUACCAAACCCUUGACCCCUUAACCCAAUUCAACUGUACAUCAGUACCCUUAAAUAAUUGGAUUGGUUCUGAGAGCAAGAACAAAGCUUCAAUGAGAAGAAAAUCAGGACAAAUAAUUACAUUUAAGCAAAGGUAUUAGGUAAGGACUGAUCCUCAGACUAUUGAAAUGGGUAGAAAUAAUCAUACUGUUUUCAGCAUCAUUUUGUUUAAACCAUAAUUGCAUAUAUUGAGAUUUUUUUUUUUUUUAAUCUUGUUUCAUGCCUGGGUGGAGGCUAAAAAAGAAUACUGAUCUUAACAAACUGUAAAACCACCAGAUUUUCUACAGGCCAAUACUACAUAUAGAGUCUAUGCAAGAACAACUUCCUAAUGAAAAUUCAGAAUUUUUUAAACAUAUUAUAAUUCAGUUUUAUCAUAUAUGAAUCUUAUCAUCAUUACAUUUUUCCAGUAUUACACAGUCCUUUUAAUACUAUUUGCAAUUGCAACUGAAAUUAGGGUUACAGAAACAAACUAACUAAAAACCACAACAGGAAAAAGCAACGACAAAAAAAAAUUCCUGUGUUUUUUUCAAGUCACAUAUUAGCACUUUUAUUUUACUAUUUCAAUCCCAAGAAGGAAAGUAAAUUCUAUAUCAAUCUGAGUGUAGCAUUAUGUAAUUUUAAUUCUUCUAAUGGCGUCUCAUCUACAGAACUAUUCUGUUGUACUCUCCCUUUCUCUCAUAAAAUGCAAAAUUUAAAAUGUGAUUCUUCCCUAAAGGUAAAAAAAAAAAAAAACCCUGUUUUUUUCUAGGUUGUGUCUUUUUGAAGAUGUGUUUCCAAAAAACGGCCAGCCAGAGAGAGAGAGGAAUCAACUUAAAACCUAAUAUUAAUUUUUACCAUUUUCCUUAGGACAACUCUUGGAAAGAGUCAUAUGUGGCACUUUCAGACAGGCAGUCAAGAGUCUUUUAAUCUGUUUGAGGGGUUUUUUUUAAUAUCUAUGGGGCAGUUAUCCACAUGUUACAAAUUCUAAUUACAUUGAUCAGUGUUUGAGAAGUAUUACAGUGUUUUUAUAAGAAAUUUAAUUUUUCUGGAUGUCAUUACAUUUUUUUGAAGUAGCAAUGAAAUUUAAACAGCUGAAUUUGUUUCAUACUUCUUUUAUCUCUCUCCAUUCAGAAGUUUAGGAACUUUUCAUAUUUUAGUGCUAUACUUUGUAGAGCUUUCAGUAUUAAUUUAGCACAUCACAAUAUGUAUUUACACUUUGUGUUGAUUCUCCCUAAGGAUUUACUAAUUCAAUAUGAAUAUAUUCAAAUAAAAUAUUAUGAAUAAGUUUACCUUAAAACCA